rnacentral:sRNA from 10 species
GAGAGGUGUGAAGCAUUCUGUACUCAAAAGGUACGGACCUUCUCCCGAAGCACAUCUUUCAUAAAUCCACAUUUGCUAACUUUUAAUUCAAUGAUUAAAAAAGCAAGAGUCUUCGGGCGUUGAUGACGAAAGGUGUCUAAUACUUCGGACCUUAGUCAACGAAGUCAUCCUUUGAACCGCAAGUUCGGGGAUGUCAAUUGUGAAACAACUCGUGGGUUGGCCGACCCUUUGUGAGACCGCAAGUCUUAAGAGAUUGGAGUAGUAGUUGAGUAGUUAUCGACGAUACGAAUGGUAGCCGUAAGCGACCGACACUGACCUGAUACCUCUGUCAAUGAGGUGGACAAGUGGGGAACAAACUAAUUAUAAUCCCACAAAAGACAGGUUAUUCAAACGUGUAGUCUCAGCGU